rnacentral:rRNA from 1 species
UACGUAGGGUGCAAGCGUUGUCCGGAAUUAUUGGGCGUAAAGAGUUCGUAGGCGGUUGCCUAAGUCUGAUGUUAAAUACUAGAGCUCAACUCUGGCAUGGCAUUGGAAACUGGGCAGCUAGAGUGCGGUAGAGGUCUCGGGAAUUCCAGGUGUAGCGGUGAAAUGCGCAGAUAUCAGGAAGAACACCCGUGGCUAAGGCGGCUCUCUAGUACGUGACUGACGCUGAGACGCGAAAGCGUGGGGAGCGAACAGG